rnacentral:lncRNA from 1 species
AGAUUCUCGCAAAUCUGGAAGCGGAUCGCGUGGAGUGACGGUCACACCGCGGCGAAUUAAUUUCCAAAGACUCAUGUUACAUGAGAAAGCCACCAAGAAGACCAAAGAAAAGGAGACAAGGAUGGCUCUUCCUCAGGAUUGACUUCUAAGGACUCUUGGUACAUGAGGAAGAAACCCGGAAGGGGAAGAGGAAAGCAAAGGCGUCAGGAAUGGUUCUUCCUCAGGGUCUAUUGACAUUCAGGGAUGUGGCCAUAGAAUUCUCUCAGGAGGAGUGGAAAUGCCUGGACCCUGCUCAGAGGACUCUAUACAGAGAUGUGAUGUUGGAGAAUUAUAGGAACCUGGUCUCCCUGGGUGAGGAUAACUUCCCUCCAGAAGUGGGGAUGUUCCCUUGUGUAUCUUUGCAUUUUCUCUUGUUUCUCUUGGGAGUUGCAUCCUUGCUUGACUAAAAUGGAAGCCGUAUUGAUUUUGAAAUGAAAAGCUUCAUGAUGUAGCAUCUGGACUUUCACUGUCCCCUUUUUUAGAUGUUCUGCGUUCUUCAUGAUAGCUCAGUGGGGGUUCCAGAAGUAAAGAAGGCU